rnacentral:lncRNA from 1 species
GUAAAAUCGCAUCACAUGUUGUAAUUGAUUGCGUCGCUGUUAUGUUGACCAUAUGGAAUCGACGUGCGAGACAGUUUGCCUGGGCUUACCGUCUGACUCCCAUUUACUGCACAGCUUGUGUUUCUGACCUUCAAUAUAUGUGCUACUGCUUCUAGCAUCUUGGAAAACAGACAGCGCUACUUUCCAUAAACAUACACCACUAAUUGUAAUUUCAGAUCAGUGGCUGGAGUUGGAGUUGUCAUUGAUUUAAAGUACGUGCAGAAUCAUAAUCCAAGAGGUUUAUCCAACAAAACCAGGCCUCACUUACCUUCCUAGUAUUGCCUGUGGCGCAUCAGACCUAGCAGGAGCCAGACAGCACAAUACAUUUGAAAUGAAGAUUUCUCUCCAUGUAAUUAAUUUCACAUUUGUCUAAUCAAAUUCGUUCAAGGGAACAUGCUCACGUGAAGUUUCGAGCACAAUGCACCAAUUACAUUGUCUCAUUCAUGUGCAAUACACUAUAUACUGUAUGUGCAUACAUUUAGGAAAUACGUCUCACCGUGCCAACUUUUUUUUUCUCUCUCUCUUCCCUUCUCUUUUUCUUUUUUCAGAGGAUUGUUUUGGAAACAGAAAGAUCAUGCACAUCCAAUCUGGAGGUGAGACACGGGCCAGCGAGGACUCACCGGCAGAGCUAGGACCCCAGAGGACAGCAACAUCUGCCAGACACAUCGUGGCCUCGUCCCCCCUGGGUGUCCAUGUGUCUGUCAGCACCUCGUCUGUCCAGGGAUGAGGUGAGGAUGAGG